GUAUGGAGGAGGUCUGCAGGCUUCGAUCAUCACCUCCCAACAAACAGCAUCUUUAUGAUGGAUCAAUGGUGUGUGUGUGCGGCCUGUGUGUGUGUGUGUGUGUGUGUGUGUGUGUGUGUGUGUGUGUGUGUGUGUGUGUGUGUGUGUGUGUUAGGGGGCUACCUCAAUCUGCACUAGAAGAUGCCUCCCCUGUCCGGUCCACCUGAACAGGUGCAGGGUAGCUGCUCAGUCACAUGGUACCUCCCUUGUACUGCAGAUGUACAGCAGAUGAAGGAGUGACGUUGGACAGAGGACGGACAGACUUCAUGCAUGUAAACAAACUAUACACUGUAUCUCAUCUCCAAUAGGUUAAGAUUGUUAGGAUAUGUAUGUAUGUAUGUAAAUAUGCCGGGAUCCGCCCUUUUUCAGAAUGAUGUAACUUCAAUGACGAUGAUAUUCAGGUCGUAUGUAUCGAUAAAUGUUUUGCACCCUGGAAGAUGAAGACGAGAAGGAGCACACACUCGGUCUCUGCACUCCGGAUCCAGACCUCCUGUUUCUGGGGACCGUCCUCCACGUGGACUGAACAGCGCUCUGUGUGCGGGCCCACACAGUCUGUCCUCUGCUGAGUGUUGUACAUGUAUGUGCGUGUGCGGUAGGUAGGUAGGUAGGUAGGUGUGGGUGGCCUGACAGGAAGCUCCCGACGGACGGACGGACGGACGGCGGGUGGCCUCCGGGACGUUUGUCCUCCGGGACGUUUGUCCUCCGGCCUGAACUCUGAGCACAAAGGCGACGAGCCGCCGCCGUGCCACCUCUCUGUGGUUGCUCCUGUACAUUCCUCUCUCUGAAUGUGUAAACUGUACACGUGGUGUGAAAUUCCUCUAUUAAUGUGUAUCAAGAGAAUGGAACAAAGACAAAAAAAUGUUACUUUUUAAAUUAUUCUCAUUAUUAUUAUUAUUAUUACUCUUCUUCUUGUCUAGCUUUGUAAACUGCUGAUCCAUCCGGCAUACCUCAGCAGGCCUUUCCCCACCUCUGAAAAGGACCAGAGAGCGACGGGGAAAUGAGGUUUUGGAUAAACUAUUUUUAAUUGUGGUUGAAGCAAUAGACUUUUUGAACUUUGAAUUGUGCAUGGCUGUGUCUUGAGUGUAAAAAAAACAAAAAAAACAACUAAAUAUUACAGUUUGGGAACUGGACUGAAAUAAAAAGAGGAAGAAAACCAGA